rnacentral:rRNA from 1 species
AGUGAACGCUGGCGGUAGGCCUAACACAUGCAAGUCGAACGGCAGCACAGUAAGAGCUUGCGCUUACGGGUGGCGAGUGGCGGACGGGUGAGGAGUACAUCGGAAUCUACUUUUUCGUGGGGGAUAACGUGGGGAAGCUUACGCUAAUCCCGCAUCCGCCCAACGGCUGAAAGCGGGGGAUCUUCGCCCCUUGCCCGCUUGAAUGCGCCGAUGUCGGAUUAGCUAGUUGGCGGGGUAAAGGCCCACCAAGGCGACGAUCCGUAGCUGGUCUGAGAGGAUGAUCAGCCACACUGGAACUGAGACACGGUCCAGACUCCUACGGGAGGCAGCAGUGGGGAAUAUUGGACAAUGGGCGCAAGCCUGAUCCAGCCAUACCGCGUGGGUGAAGAAGGCCUUCGGGUUGUAAAGCCCUUUUGUUGGGAAAGAAGAGCAGCAGGUUAAUACCCCGCUGUUUUGACGGUACCCAAAGAAUAAGCACCGGCUAACUUCGUG